rnacentral:rRNA from 1 species
UACGUAGGGUGCGAGCGUUGUCCGGAAUUAUUGGGCGUAAAGAGCGUGUAGGCGGCCAUGUAGGUCCGGUGUGAAAACUCGAGGCUUAACCUCGAGAUGUCAUCGGAAACCAUUUGGCUAGAGUCCGGAAGGGGAGAGUGGAAUUCCUGGUGUAGCGGUGAAAUGCGCAGAUAUCAGGAAGAACACCAAUGGCGAAAGCAGCUCUCUGGGACGGUACUGACGCUGAGACGCGAAAGCGUGGGGAGCGAACAGG